AUCGCAUCCUGCCCUUCUCGGGGCCUCGGGCCCCUUCGACUCGUCUCCAGGGAUUGCACUUGCUCCUGCUGCCCACGGAGGUUUCCUUCCUGUGAUUCCACUCGGAGGGGGCGCUUUUCUUUGCUGGCUUCAACCAUCACAGAGCUGCUUUGUGUUCGCCGGCAGCUGCCACGCUUCCCUGAAAAGGCGGCUUCUGUUCUGCUGGAGAUGAGCUGAUUUGCCUGGCAGCCAACUUAAACAAGGAGGCAAGAAAACAGCAUAGACUGGGCUCCCAAAUACAUCUACAUGGAUUUAAUGGACACGGAAUGUUGAUGUUAGAUGUAAAGCAGCACUGUGACUCAACCCCUUGUGCAACUCUGAACAUGGAGGGGAGUCCUGUGAAGAUGCACUGACCCUGAAGUGUUUCAGAAAGGCUGUCUAUAGCUGUACCUAAGCCUUGAUCAUGUGAGAGAAGUCCUAGCUCUGUCUGCAGUGGUGGGCAAGGGGGACAAGAAGUCACCUUCUCCAAGACCCUUUUCAAGCACCAGGGUUGCCUGACUGUUGAAUUAGGGCCAUAGACUUUCCACACUGAGCCCAGCACUGCACUUGUGCCUCUGCUGAAAGAUGCUUUCCAUAGCAGAAAGUUCUGGGACUCAAGUCCUGCUGUCUGUAUUUUUUUGUCCCUUGAUGUGGUGUACUCCCCCUUCCCCUAGGAGUAGGAAUCCCUGAAGAACAGACUACUGUGAAUGCCACUGCUUCUCUGGGUCCAGCUUCCCCAUGGGGUGAAUGCAACACUCCAGGCUGGUGCUGGGGAAUGCUUGCAAGUGAUCCAGUGAUGUGACCUGUCCUCAAGUCUCCCAGCAGUGGGAACAAGCACCAGCUCUUAUGGGGUGACAGGGGAGUAACAUAGACUCUGUAAGAUUCCUUGGUUAUAAACAGCCUUAUUGUGUUGGCUUUCUCAAAUGCCAGGAAGUCUCAAAUGCCAGUAGUAAUGAACUGGUCACAUGGACAGACAUAGGACCUCCUGGUUAGCCAGGAUGAUGCAGGCAGUGGUGAUAGUUGAGGACACGCAUAAGUUUUCUUCUUCCUAGGCACUUUGUUAUCCAGGUCUCUCCCACAACACGUGGAAAUUCAAGAUGAGAUUUGGAUGAGGAUACAGCCAAACCAUAUCACUCACCUAGCUCCCAUACACUUGGCAAAGCAGGUCUCACAAUCUCAAUGUUUCUCUAGCAGCAGCUAGCUAUGUUCCAGGCAGUUUGCACUCAGAACUCAAAACUUCCCCAGGCCAUAUGCCUUCCCCUGGAAGACCGAAUCCUUGGCUUUUAGGCCAUGCCUUUUCUGCUCAGCCAGCCAAGCAGGGACAUUCAGCUCCAGUGCCCAUGUUUACAGCCCACUUGCCACUUCCCCUUUGGUUCUGGAUUAUAUCUAGAAUCUCAAUUGGGAGCUUCUUUUAACAUGUGACCACCACCUGAGUUACCUGACAGACUUCCAAAACAUCCCCUGUGAGGUUGGAUCAGGAAUGGCUUCCCUCCACAUCCACUGGAGCCUGGGAGUGCAUACAAAGAAUAUCCCAGUGCCGCUCCUUCUUACAUGCUCCCACCACUCUCUAAAUCAGCUCCAGUGCUGGGUAGGGUUAAGGACUUCCCCCAUGGCCUGGAUUGCCAGGUUCCCUGGUGGGAGUGUAUAAAGGCAGUUUAUCUCCCUCACAAACUCUGGGUACUUACAGUUUUCCAAAUGGCUCACGGUUGGAGUCUGUUUUCUUUCAGUUUUUGUGUUAAGUUCCUUAUUUGUGUUGCUUCUGCCUUCUACUUCCCAGGCUGGGAGCAGCUAUGUGUCUUGCAGAACAGUUCUCUGCUAGCUCUGAUUCGCUCCAAACCUCAUCUGCUAGUGUUCUUUCUGGCCUGAUUCAUCUCUGUUUAAUAUAUAAUGAAGUAGAUUUAAGUGUUAUCCUUAGGAUGUGGUUCUCCCUUGAGGAAGGAGAAUAGGGUCUGGAGGCAGGGAACAUAAGGCCGAUUCACGCUGAUUUCCUAGAACUAAAUCAAAUGAAAACACUUCAGCAAUGACAGGAAAUAUCCUCUCCAUUUUCUUAGGGCAUAUGCCAAGUAAACGACUUUGUAACUUUACUUCAUCCUCUUCCUUCACAUAGGGUGUACACCAAGUAACCAACAGAAACCUCUAGAGGGUAUUUAAACCCCAGAAAAUUAUGUAACCAGGUUCUUG
rnacentral:lncRNA from 10 species